AUGGCCGCCUCAGUACAAACGCCUUGUUUCCUCUCACUCACCUCUAGUCUCAUCCCUCGCCAAGAACCCGCCUCCGCUUCCAAGAGUCUCGAGGUCUCCGCCGUCGACCGAAGCAGCAACAACAUGAAGCGCUUGCUGAGCCGGCUCUCCCGCGUGGCCGCCGCCGACGCCUGCGCAGCCGCCGCGUACCAGCCGCUCCGGCCCGACGCUGCGGCCAAGGGCUCCUCCGCAGUCUCCUCUCCCUCGUCCUCAUUCUUCGGCGCGCGAAGGCUCAGCAGAGGCGCGUGGGUGCCGCAGGGGCACGUGCCGGUGUGCGUCGGCGAGGAGGGCGGCCCCGUGGAGCGCUUCGCCGUGCGCGCCGAGCUCCUGGGCCAGCCGGCGUUCAAGGCCCUGCUCUGGCGCUCUGCGCAGGAGUACGGCUACGGUCACCCAGGAGCGCUCCGCAUCCCCUGCGCUGUGGCCAACUUCCGCCGCCUCCUCCUCGGCCUCUCCGACCCCGGCUGCAAGGCCACCGACGACGACGAUGCCGCGCUCUACUAUUAG
rnacentral:rRNA from 1 species